AACGAACGCUGGCGGCAUGCCUAACACAUGCAAGUCGAACGAACUUUUCGGAGUUAGUGGCGGACGGGUGAGUAACGCGUAGGAACCUGCCGAGUAGUGGGGAAUAACAGUUGGAAACGACUGCUAAUACCGCAUACGCCCUUCGGGGGAAAGAUUUAUCGCUAUUUGAGGGUCCUGCGUUCGAUUAGCUAGUUGGUGUGGUAACGGCGCACCAAGGCUCCGAUCGAUAGCUGGUCUGAGAGGAUGAUCAGCCACACUGGGACUGAGACACGGCCCAGACUCCUACGGGAGGCAGCAGUGGGGAAUAUUGGACAAUGGGGGAAACCCUGAUCCAGCAAUGCCGCGUGCGUGAAGAAGGCCUUAGGGUUGUAAAGCGCUUUCACCUGCGAUGAUGAUGACAGUAGCAGGAGAAGAAGCCCCGGCUAACUCCG
rnacentral:rRNA from 1 species